UACGGGGGGGGCAAGCGUUGUUCGGAAUUACUGGGCGUAAAGGGCUCGUAGGUGGCCAACUAAGUCAGACGUGAAAUCCCUCGGCUUAACCGGGGAACUGCGUCUGAUACUGGAUGGCUUGAGAUUGGGAGAGGGAUGCGGAAUUCCAGGUGUAGCGGUGAAAUGCGUAGAUAUCUGGAGGAACACCGGUGGCGAAGGCGGCAUCCUGGACCAACACUGACACUGAGGAGCGAAAGCCAGAGGAGCAAACGGG
rnacentral:rRNA from 1 species